CGCGAUUCGCCCUUCGGGGUGCAGCAGGCGCGAAAACUUUACAAUGCUGGCAACAGCGAUAAGGGGACCUCGAGUGCCAGGAUACAAUCUUGGCUGUCGCGAUGCCUAAAAAGCAUUGCAUAGCAAGGGCCGGGCAAGACCGGUGCCAGCCGCCGCGGUAACACCGGCGGCUCGAGUGGUAACCGCUAUUAUUGGGUCUAAAGGGUCUGUAGCCGGCCGGAUAAGUCUUUUGGGAAAUCCAGCUGCUCAACAGUUGGGCUUUCAGAAGAUACUGUUCGGCUCGAGACCGGGAGAGGUGAGAGGUACUUCAGGGGUAGGGGUGAAAUCUUGUAAUCCUUGAAGGACCACCAGUGGCGAAGGCGUCUCACCAGAACGGAUCUGACGGCAAGGGACGAAAGCUAGGGGCACGAACCGGAUUAGAUACCCGGGUAGUCCUAGCCGUAAACGAUACUCGCUAGGUGUCAGCCACGGUGCGACCGUGGUUGGUGCCGUAGGGAAGCCGUGAAGCGAGCCAUCUGGGAAGUACGGCCGCAAGGCUGAAACUUAAAGGAAUUGGCGGGGGAGCAC
rnacentral:rRNA from 1 species